UCGUUUCCGUUCGACAUGCCAUUUCGCAGGCCCGCCGAGGAGUUGUUGUAGUCCCAUUGAUUUCCCCCCGGUCCCGUCGCCUCCGCCUCGGCCGUUAAAGUCAGCCUUUCUCGGAGUGCGCACAAGCAGCGACUAGGCUGCACUGGCCCGCAUCGACACACCCACUCCCGCUGUGGCUGCAGGAGGAGCGCGAGGAAAACACGGAGUACUCCCCCCCCCCCCCCCAAAAAAAGAAAAGAGGAAGGAGAAAAGAACAACCGGCUGUGGUGGGACAGCCUGAGACGGCUUGUUGUCGAGUUCAAGCCCUAAAGCUGUCCGACUUCCAUGAGAGAAAGCUAGAACGAAACCACUCAAUGUCCGGUAAAAUCUGUCAAAAUAAAAUAUAUCAACACAAUAGUUUUUUUUCAAAUGUUGAAAGCCACAAACACACAUAUACAACGUAGUCAAACACCUACAAGCAUAAUUAGGAUGUUUUAUUCUACUAGUCUGACAUAAUACAUGGAAGUUUAAUAGUCCAAUCCAAGCAAUUCAUUUUUUUUUUACAGUUCACGCUUUUAUUCUGAAGGAUUAAUCUUGCGGCUUCCCGUUUCAGUUUAUUUCAUUAGUUCUGUCUUGGUGCAGCGUGUGUUGCUGAAGCGUGAAAUCCGAGGCGAGUGACAGAAGGAGACAGCCAAUAGAAACUUCGACAUGAGAAUUAUUUAUUCAUGAUGAAAGGGGCGGGACUCUUUGCACAUUAUGGAUCUACUGACUGUGGACAUCAUUGAUACGGGGGACAUAGCCUACUCAAGUUCACUCAUCUUGUUGCCUCCAUUAAUGGAUACAGCUGCCCACUAUGAAUGUAGUAUUCAUACUCUGGAGGAUAUAAUAACCGAAAUAGAGAGAAAAUAGAACUGCGCCUUUUUCUUUGUCAUUCUGCAUCAACUUUACACAUUUGUCUUUUCCUUGUGUCAAAACUAUAAUAUGUUGCUGGGGAUGAAUAAGCCAUUUACUCACCUCUACAUGGUUUAUGAUGAUUGUACAUUAACAGGAAACGUUCCUGCAUUCAAAAGCAUUUCUCUAUUCAGAGUAGCUGGAUGUCGCCUUAGUCACAAAGUGUUACUUAGCUAAGAUGAGUAAAAUAACAUAAUGAGAUGUGUGGGUGUCUGUCCUCACAUGGUUCAGGGUGGCUGCUCAUGGCUGCAUGCUCAAUAACCUUUUAGUUACAGUUCCUAACCCUUUUUCAGAACACCUUUUAUUAACUCGACUGCCUGUCACUCACUACUCUGAUGCGCUAGGUGGACUUGUGAUAAGAGCACCAACAAUAGGAUUGUGGGGAACUUCUAUUGACAGGUUAUCGUAUUGUAUUAUUCAUGCAAGGACUUAUCACUUAUCAUGACAUUAUUUAAAAAUGUAUUUCUCAACUAAAUGUUGAUAAAGAUAAAAGUGAUGCCAGUAUGUUUUAGUUCCAUACUGAUCUGAAUUGCACAGAUUUUCUUCUCUGACAAUCUUGACAUGAUUUUGUCCCAUGCGUAAUCGACUGCAUUCAGACGCAGUUCACUUUUAAGGUUUUGGUUUUUGGACAUUUGUCGCGUUAAACAAUAGCCAUGUAAUCAUUCCUUCAGUAUUUCAGUCACAUCUGGCGGGAAUGUGCUGUCUACUGAGGGCACCGUUCCAAGGAUUCUCAAUAGCACCACAAACUACAGCCUCCAAAAUGAGCAUAAAGUAUCAAAAGCUUGUUAAGACAGCACACGUAUUGUAGUAAUCAACACAACUUACCCGAGUAAUUGUUCCUCACAGAAUAUGUCAUCUUCCCAUUUUUGUUUAGAGCGUUAAUUAAAAAUGGCGUUGUACUCAUGAAAUGCUUUUCUUGUCUCCUCCAACCAGGCAAGUUG